rnacentral:rRNA from 1 species
GACAGAGGGUGCAACCGUUGUUCGGAAUUACUGGGCGUAAAGCGCGUGUAGGCGGUUAUGCAAGUCGGGUGUGAAAGCCCGGAGCUCAACUCCGGAAGUGCAUUCGAUACUGCGUAGCUAGAGUACUGGAGAGGAUGGUGGAACUCUCGGUGUAGAGGUGAAAUUCGUAGAUAUCGAGAAGAACACCGGUGGCGAAGGCGGCCAUCUGGACAGAUACUGACGCUGAGACGCGAAAGCGUGGGGAGCAAACAGG